UGAUCUCAAAUCAGGUAGGACUACCCGCUGAACUUAAGCAUAUCA
rnacentral:rRNA from 4 species